AUCAGUCUCCAGCGCGCAUGUGCCCGCUUCUGCGAUCCAGUUUAUGGAAAUGGCGUGAAAUCUGGCCAACAAAAUAACAUAGAAAUGAAGGCUUCAGCGUUUAUUCUUGGCAGUGUGGAGGAGGCUUUGACACAGCAGUAACUGUUAAAUGCUCAGUAAGGGUCAGUUGACGAUCCCUCCUAAAAAUUGGUGGGUGACAAUGGUGAUGUUGUUUUAUCCAUCGAUGAUUGGGUUCUAACCCUGAAGUGGGAUGGGACUUAGGCUUUCUGUAGCUCGGAUAUAUGAAAUCGUUAUUCUUACAGCUUAAUUAUUAGCUCUCUCUAUACUUCCAUGCUUUGCAACCACAUGUGAAAAAUAAUGUCCACUCUGCUCAAGCAGAUCAACCGGGCGACGAAAACGAAGUUAGAGCGAUCCCUCUGUCUUCGUCUACACGAUCUGUGUGUCAAUUGACAGGCGCUUCCUGAUCCAUUGGAAUUACCGUUGACGCUGCCUGGACAGACAGUGAGGACGUCCUCCUCAUUUCUUACACUGUAAAUUUCAUCAAACAAUCACUCCUCGCGUACACAUUCUACAGGUACUAAAACGUUAACAAGACGAAUACAUUAAUCAUUUGACAUUUUAUCCAAGGGUGAAACAAAUCUCUCGACCACUUUGUUUUGCGCUUGAAUGAAACACCAGAGGAUGCGUUCAUUCAUAGCUACAAACCGACUCUACACCAAACAUGCAGGAUAAUCCUCGCACGAACACGGUCUCAUGCUUCAUCCUAUUCGAAUUAAUAGAAAUCCAACGGGAACGAAAGAUGAGUUGUGCAACAGCGCCAUCUGGUGGUGAAAGAGACGUUGUCAUUUCAAGUGACUGUUUUUACUUGAGUAGCCUAUAUUUUAAUUUUGAGGUAGACUACUGGCACUUUCUAGUAUUUCAAUGUUGGUCUAUGUCUAUGUAUUUGUAUUUUAGACCACAACAUAACCUUAGAUGUUUUUCUUCUGUCUUUCAGGGAGCCAGUUGUCUCCAGUCAUUCCCAUAUAGUCUGAAAAACAAUAAGCAGACAGUAGAUAAACCGCCACACGGAAGGUUAUCUGCUUCUAUGGAUGGCAAAGUUACAUAUUUGUUGUGUGGUAAUGCAAUGCAGACCUUUUUAAUUAAUUUGCACUGACAUAGGUGACCAGAAUACUGUUACUUUUAAAUAAUAUAAAACAAAUCAACAGUGUAACAAGACAGGCCUGGAGUUUGUUGUGAUGGAUUACACUAGCAGGUUUCAAAUCUCUGCAAUUUCAUUUCCAUGCUUUGUAAAGGGCUGAAGCUUGCAAAAACACUAGAUUUGAGUUUAAGGCAAACUAAAUGAAGUUUUGUAAUGGAGCGUAUUUUAACUUCGUAUGGCAGUUCUAUUAAUGUAAAAGUACUUUUCACACCACUGCAAAAUUAGAUGAUUAGGGAUUAAAAAUAUGGAUUUGUUUUUGCUGUUUGGCACACGAUGAUCACAGACUGAAGGUCGAGCUCACUUAUAGUAGCUUGUCAAUUUCGUCAAUGAAUUCCCAAGAGAAAAGACGAGGGACAAAACAACAUCAAAGCUGGAAAGUUUGCCGUUUGUGCGAGGACACAAGCUGUGUAAUUCCAGUCUGCUGGAGGCUUUAAUCAGACAGCGUCAGAGAGAUAUCUGCACAGUUGGUCCUGAUUUUCUGCAUCAUUCAGCUUUAAGGUAUCAAACAAACCACAACAGUUAGUUGUUAGUUCCUAACAACAUUUGUUUAAUGACAGGAGACAUAAACAAAACAGAACACACACGAUCUGAUGAUUAAGAACAUGCAAACUGGAAAUACAAAAAAACACAUGGAUUUUGACAUCUGUGUCAUUUUGAGACAGACACACAGUGCAGCAUCAUGGGACUGCUUAACAGUCUGUCAUCCUUAGAAAACAAACCAAACGGCAGAAGUGGUGCAAAAACUAAAAGCGACACUAUGGACACGUGAGGCAAAAAAAACUAAAUAAACAAACAGUAACAUGGAGCAUAGCCUGUUCAUUUUACACACAUGUACAUAAAUACAUAAGAGGCACAUCUGACAGGUAACCACCGACGGGGUGAUCAUUCAGUCAUGUUUUGGACGAUGUUGUCCUGUUGUCUUAAGUGAGAAGAUAAACCAAUCAUAUCAGCUUGUCGUUUCUAUCGGUUUACAAAUUCAGUGACCAAAAUAAAAUCUGUAUUUCCAGACAUAUUCCUGUUUCUCUACAAUAAUCAUGUGAUAAUUAACUGCUCGAAUGCGAGCUUGUUGGUUGGUGGAAAUGGUCAAAAGGAAGUAGCUUUAACCCUUAACGUGGAGAGAAAAUGCCACCAAAUACUAAACUACAAGAACAAAUAAACUGCAAAGGGGUGUCUGCAGAAGUCACACCGUUGGUCUGUGAACUGUGAACACUUUCAAUCACAGUGCGGAAUUAAAGGGUCCGAAGAUUAAGAGAUCACAACACUAGACAUACUCAGGGUUCCUACAUACUUUUCUCUCUGGGUGUUAUCCAGAGAGUCUUAUACAGUGUGUAGCUGAGGAUAACUAACUCCCCAGAAACAGUCAGUCAACAACUUUAACAGUGCAAUUUAGGUCGCACCAGGGUCAUAAUCUUUUUUCAUCAAUACUUUUGUCAAAUCCUACAGUUUUUUAAGACUUUGUAGUAACUUUCUUGACACUUGUAGGAACCCCGGACAUUACAAAAAUCCAUGAAACACCUCCAAUAAUAGUGGUUAACUCCACCGCCAACAUCCGCUUUAACUAAAGUCAGUAGCAUCAAUAACAACUCUUUCUUUGACAUUCCCAAGCUGCGACGUUCAAGACACUUAAGUAGAUCAGACAACAUUAAAUAAAGUGUGAUUAAGCCUGGUGAGAAAUUAAACACAAACUAGAUGAUUGUACCUUCCUCAAAAUAAUUUAUAAAUUCUGUCUGGUGAAGCUCCCAUGCGAUGAGAAGUUAAAUACACAAGUCAUUUGAGCAAGAGCACAGUGAGCGCUGGUUUCUUCUUUGUCAGAUCUACAUCAGAGCCUGGUGCUGAAAGCUGUAGCUUGUUAAAGACAGGGCACUGUCCGGUUUAUCAGUAGCAUGUGCUAUACCUCAGAUGUGAGACUUCAAUACUGUCCCUCCUACUGUCUUAAAGAGGUAAAUGUCUUAAGAGCCAAUUUCAUUGCCUUACUGCUAUGGCCAGGAAAAACACAGGGACCAUAAGCCUGUCUUGACUGAACAUUUGAAAAUGAUUACAGGCUUUGUCCUGCAAUCUUCUUCCACAAAAUAAACUGAUGUGGAGGAGCAAGAAUUGCAAUAUUUUUAAAUGCUGAGUUUUAACAACAUAUACGCCAAAUUUAUCAGUGGAUUCAAUUUAGAAAAAGGCCUACAGGCUUGUUCUGUGAGGUAUACAUGUUUUUAAAAUUGCCAGAAUUUGAAAUGAGGUUUUGUGUGGUGUUCUUGCUUGUAAGGUGGGAAUGUAAAAUUAGAAGUCCUGGGGCAAAGUCAGUUAAGUACCAAUAUAAUACUUAAUACAAUCUGUGUUGUUUUACUUCCUCUUAAGCAAAAAGCCAUAGCUGACUGCAAGCAUCAAAGUGAGACACCACAGCAUACAUGUGUCAAUUAAUAGCAUGUAUUGUUGUAUGAUGUCAAAUUUGGAUUUUUUUAAUAAUGAAAUUUAGAUUAAGUAGGUUAUGUUGUCUUGUACUACUAGACUAAUAUAUAGCUCCUAAAUUAUCGUAACACCACUAUGCCAAUGUGAACAGCUUACCUCAAUUACCAGGUAAGCCAUGGGGACAAAAACAAAAACAACCUAACUGGUCAUCACGGCAUCCAACUUUUAUCACAAAACUUUCUGAAGGAGGAAAGAAAAUGUGAGAAGAGUGGUGGGUCACAAAACAAACCAAAAAUAAAAAACCGUUUGAAGCGCCAUCAUCAUGUCUUAGAUAUGUCUUUAGCGAGGCUGUGGGUUUUCCCCUGGCUUCCUCCAGGGCUGCCGUACUGGCUCUGUGGCCUGGGGAUUGUGGAGCGGCCAGACGGGAGUCCUGCAGUUUUUUUUUUUUUUUUUUUUGUUUGUUUGUUUUUUUGUUGUUGUUGGGUUUUUUUUUUGUUUGUUUUUUUUAAAGGCCUUGAUCCUCCUUUCAGGGUCAGAAUCACAUAUUCUUCAGUGCGACACCAGUCCAGGGGGGGGGAUUCUUGGCAACAGGAGAGAGGAGGAGGAGAAGGGAGCAAAAG